rnacentral:rRNA from 1 species
GGGAUUGCCUUAGUAACUGCGAGUGAAGCGGCAAAAGCUCAAAUUUGAAAUCUGGUACCUUCGGUGCCCGAAUUGUAAUUUGGAGGCAUAUCUUCGGGGUUGGCACUGUCCUAAGUUCCUUGGAACAGGACGUCAUAGAGGGUGAGAAUCCCGUGCCUGGAUGGCUGACCAGCCCCAUGUGAAGUGUGUCCUACGAGUCGAGUUGUUUGGGAAUGCAGCUCAAAAUGGGUGGUAAAUUUCAUCUAAAGCUAAAUAUUGGCGAGAGACCGAUAGCGCACAAGUAGAGUGAUCGAAAGAUGAAAAGCACUUUGAAAAGAGAGUUAAAAAGUACGUGAAAUUGUUGAAAGGGAAGCGCUUGCGACCAGACUCAAUUUUAGGUGAUCAACUGGGCUUCGGUUCGGUGCCAUUGCCUUUGAUUGGGCCAGCAUCAGUUUUGACGGUGGGAUAAAAGUUAGAGAAAUGUGGCUUCCUUUUGGAAGUGUUAUAGCCUCUUUCAUAAUGCCACCAGUUGGGACUGAGGACCGCGCUUCGGCUAGGAUGCUGGCGUAAUGGUCUUAAGCGACCCGUCUUGAAACACGGACCAAGGAGUCUAACAUCUAUGCGAGUGUUCGGGUGGAAAACCCUUGCGCGUAAUGAAAGUAAACGGAGGUAUGAACCUUUUGGGUGCAAUAUCGACCGGUCCUGAUGUCUUCGGAAGGAUCUGAGUAAGAGCAUAGCUGUUGGGACCCGAAAGAUGGUGAACUAUGCCUGAAUAGGGUGAAGCCAGAGGAAACUCUGGUGGAGGCUCGCAGCGGUUCUGACGUGCAA